rnacentral:antisense_RNA from 1 species
GAGAAAGGGCUUUCUUAACCCACAAGUGUACAGGCCUUGAAGGCUCAUGACUUAGGGUCAUUGUCACCCAUUCAUUCAUUCACUCAAAUCUGGAAAGCAUUCAAAAAAUAAUUUUUAAAAAUCAUCUCUGGGGAAAAGUCUGGUGUCAGGCUCAGAAAGGAUUUGUUUCAUAUCCAGAGCCAUGUCUGGGUUGUGUUCUCUGCUAUCGAGGAACCCGAGGGCUCUCAUUCAGCCUCAAGGGCUAUGGAAGUGACUCCUGGUAGGUGGCUCCAGCACUGACUCUGGGCCCUCAGGGUCGAGGUUGCGGUGAAGACCGCGAUCCGCAUCGCCUACUGCCCCAGAUCGGAUUGGAGGGAGCCAGCUCAGCAAGGCCCACAUUCUCCCGGUGAAGCCACAGAACCACAGGGAGAAAUCCAUGGACUUGGCCUCGCUCUCUAGGGGACCAGAUGUGCAGAGGUAAUGAAUACCAGGGAAUCAGGAAACCACUGGAUCAGUUCUUUGAGCCAUAGAACAACACUCAUCCCAGCAGCUGGGAAGCUAUCUGCAAAAGUCCAUCUGCAGAAAGGGCUUCCUGGUCUUGCGUGUGGCUGGGCCAUUUCUCUGGAUGCAGGUUUUUCAUUAUACAGUCUUCUCAAAGGACCACCUGCUCUCAACACC